UUCAGGUGAUUUUCAAGGAACAUAUCAGCGGUGGACAAAUUCUUUGCAAUAAAUUAUUUUGAAGUGUUUAUGGCGGAAACUGCUCUCCAUUCACACAAAAUCCAUUUCCUCUUCUUUCUUGGCUCACAGACUAUAUUUUCCCUCUUCUCUGCACUUUGAUGUUUCUCUUGACUCAAAUCUCACCAAUGACAUACAAGCAAAAUUAAUACGUGUCAAUUUUGGACCUAAAAUUCAAGAAAUGCUACCCCUUCACCACGUUCUCUGCUUUUUUGCAGACCAGAUGCAGAAAAUGCAGACCAGAUGCAAGGCCCUACAGGAGAACUCCAUAAGACAAGAGGAAACUGAAUCUCAGAAUCACCAAAUGGCGAUUCCAAGUCUCCCAGCAACUUGCUGAGGACUGAUAACAUGGGAAACAUUUUCUUUAUGUUCAACUGAUGAUCCUUUUGAGCUCCAAGAUACACACAUGAGUUUCAAAACUUGCGAUGUGUGAAUUUCCAUAAACUACGCUUCUAAAGAAUGAAUUAAUGGGAGACAAUGAACGACAUGGUGAAAGCAUUACCCUGUCCCCGCUUUCUGCUGAUGCUAUAGUGUCAAACAAGUCCUGAAAAUGUUUUAUGCCUCAAAGCCCAAAGCAGCAAGUUCCUGAGUUGGAGUACUUUCUUGCCAGACUUUCAUCUUUGAGAAUGCACAAUUCUUCUGAUGAAAGUCCAACCAGAAAUGAUUCACGAACAACCACAAGUCCAGACUCCUGCCCUUCAAUUAUAUAUUUUCUCCCUCUUGUAAUGAAUAAACAAUUCGGGGACAUUAAAUAAUGACUCAUAUUCUACUCUCAGGAUUAUUUCGCCCAUGAAUCUGUAAAAAAAAGAGUAUCUAUUAGUAAGACAUCUCAACCACUUCCCCAUCAGAACGGUGGAAAAGCCCAGGACAAUUUGAUUACUAUUUAUUUACUUCUUGGCAAGUAAGUUAAAUACAUAGAUUAUAUAGACUUCUUUUUUUUUGGAAAAGUAAUUUUUGUUUCAUUUUUUCUGUGCUCACUAGACUCCUUUCAUGACUUUUUUUUUUUUUUUGAGGAAGAUUAGCCCUGAGCUAACAUCCAUGCCCAUCUUAUUCUCUUUUAUAUGUGGGACACCUGCUGCAGCAUGGCUUGAUAA
rnacentral:lncRNA from 1 species